rnacentral:sRNA from 3 species
GCACUGGCAAAAUCCGGUGCCGGGAUUGGACCCCCGAUUAUGCUACAGGUGCAUAGCCUUCAGUGAUGUUUCU